rnacentral:rRNA from 1 species
GACGAACGCUGGCGGCGUGCUUAACACAUGCAAGUCGAACGAAGAGCGAUGGAAGCUUGCUUCUCUCAAUCUUAGUGGCGAACGGGUGGGUAACGCGUAAUCAACCUGCCCUUCAGAGGGGGACAACAGUUGGAAACGACUGCUAAUACCGCAUACGAUCUAACCUCGGCAUCGAGGAUGGAUGAAAGGUGGCCUCUAUUUAUAAGCUAUCACUGAAGGAGGGGAUUGCGUCUGAUUAGCUAGUUGGAGGGGUAACGGCCCACCAAGGCGAUGAUCAGUAGCCGGUCUGAGAGGAUGAACGGCCACAUUGGGACUGAGACACGGCCCAGACUCCUACGGGAGGCAGCAGUGGGGAAUCUUCCGCAAUGGACGAAAGUCUGACGGAGCAACGCCGCGUGAGUGAUGACGGCCUUCGGGUUGUAAAGCUCUGUUAAUCGGGACGAAAGGCCUUCUUGCGAAUAGUUAGAAGGAUUGACGGUACCGGAAUAGAAAGCCACGGCUAACUACGUG